AAUCAACGCUGGCGGCGUGCCUAACACAUGCAAGUCGAACGCGAAAGCCCCUUCGGGGCAAGUAGAGUGGCGUCCGGGUGAGUAACACGUGGGUAAUCUACCUCCGGGUGGGGAAUAACUCGCCGAAAGGUGGGCUAAUACCGCAUAAUGCAGCGGCACCGAAUGGUGAUUAGUUGUUAAAGCGGGGGACCUUAGGGCCUCGCGUCUGGAGAGGAGCCUGCGGCAGAUUAGCUUGUUGGAGGGUAAUGGCCUACCAAGGCUGCGAUCUGUAGCUGGUCUGAGAGGACGGCCAGCCACACUGGCACUGAGACACGGCCCAGACUCCUACGGGAGGCAGCAGUGGGGAAUAUUGGACAAUGGGGCAACCCUGAUCCAGCGACGCCGCGUGUGUGAAGAAGGCCUGCGGGUUGUAAAGCACUUUUAGUGGGGAUG
rnacentral:rRNA from 1 species